rnacentral:rRNA from 1 species
UACGUAGGGUGCAAGCGUUGUCCGGAAUUAUUGGGCGUAAAGAGCUCGUAGGCGGUCUGUCGCGUCGGCUGUGAAAACUCGGGGCUCAACCCCGAGCCUGCAGUCGAUACGGGCAGACUAGAGUGUGGUAGGGGAGAUCGAAUUCCUGGUGUAGCGGUGAAAUGCGCAGAUAUCAGGAGGAACACCGGUGGCGAAGGCGGAUCUCUGGGCCAUUACUGACGCUGAGGAGCGAAAGCGUGGGGAGCGAACAGG